GAAGCAGUAACAGUAAAAAUGUAGCAAAAGCAGAAGCAGAGGAUAAGCAGAAGGUACAGGAAGGCCUAAAAAUGGGGACCACACAUGAGGUUCGACAUGGCUGUCAAUUUUAUGGCAUUUUUGUGUGGAUCGGGUAUGUUAGGAGGGACCAUCUUAACGGUAUCAUAUCUGUGUAGUAUGUAUAUUUAUGUAUGAUUUUUAAAUAAAUUAUUUUAUGAAACUA